rnacentral:rRNA from 1 species
CAGCCGCCGCGGGAAUACGGAGGGUGCAAGCGUUAAUCGGAAUUACUGGGCGUAAAGCGCACGCAGGCGGUCUGACAAGUCAGAUGUGAAAUCCCCGGGCUUAACCUGGGAACUGCAUUUGAAACUGUCAGGCUGGAGUCUUGUAGAGGGGGGUAGAAUUCCAGGUGUAGCUGUGAAAUGCGUAGAGAUCUGGAGGAAUACCGGUGGCGAAGGCGGCCCCCUGGACAAAGACUGACGCUCAGGUGCGAAAGCGUGGGGAGCAAACAGGAUUAGAUACCCCUGUAGUCCCUGUCUCUUAUAC